GCCCCCAUCGUCUAGUGGCCUAGGAUGCCGCCCUCUCACGGCGGUGGCAGGGGUUCGAAUCCCCUUGGGGGUACCA
rnacentral:tRNA from 1 species